rnacentral:tRNA from 1 species
UUAAAAAUAAGCUAAAUUAAGCUUUUGGGCUCAUACCCCAACUAUAAAGGAAAUCCUUUUUUUUAAA